rnacentral:rRNA from 1 species
CCUACGGGUGGCAGCAGUGAGGAAUAUUGGUCAAUGGACGCAAGUCUGAACCAGCCAUGCCGCGUGCAGGAAGACGGCUCUAUGAGUUGUAAACUUCUUUUGUACGAGGGUAAACGCAGAUACGCGUACCUUUCUGAAAGUAUCGUACGAAUAAGGAUCGGCUAACUCCGUACCAGCAGCCGCGGUAAUACGGAGGAUUCGAGCGUUAUCCGGAUUUAUUGGGUUUAAAGGGUGCGUAGGCGGUCGGAUAAGUUAGAGGUGAAAUCCCGAGGCUCAACUUCGGAAUUGCAACUGAUACUGGUCGGCUAGAGAGUAGUUGAGGUAGGCGGAAUGUAGGGUGUAGCGGUGAAAUGCUUAGAGAUCAUACAGAACACCGAUUGCGAAGGCAGCUUACCAAGCUACUUCUGACGUUGAGGCACGAAAGCGUGGGGAGCAAACAGGAUUAGAUACCCGAGUAGUC